rnacentral:rRNA from 1 species
ACUUAAAUUGAAGAGUUUGAUCAUGGCUCAGAUUGAACGCUGGCGGCAGGCCUAACACAUGCAAGUCGAGCGGUAGCACAGAGAGCUUGCUCUCGGGUGACGAGCGGCGGACGGGUGAGUAAUGUCUGGGAAACUGCCUGAUGGAGGGGGAUAACUACUGGAAACGGUAGCUAAUACCGCAUAAUGUCGCAAGACCAAAGUGGGGGACCUUCGGGCCUCAUGCCAUCAGAUGUGCCCAGAUGGGAUUAGCUAGUAGGUGGGGUAACGGCUCACCUAGGCGACGAUCCCUAGCUGGUCUGAGAGGAUGACCAGCCACACUGGAACUGAGACACGGUCCAGACUCCUACGGGAGGCAGCAGUGGGGAAUAUUGCACAAUGGGCGCAAGCCUGAUGCAGCCAUGCCGCGUGUGUGAAGAAGGCCUUCGGGUUGUAAAGCACUUUCAGCGGGGAGGAAGGCGUUAAGGUUAAUAACCUCAUCGAUUGACGUUACCCGCAGAAGAAGCACCGGCUAACUCCGUGCCAGCAGCCGCGGUAAUACGGAGGGUGCAAGCGUUAAUCGGAAUUACUGGGCGUAAAGCGCACGCAGGCGGUCUGUCAAGUCGGAUGUGAAAUCCCCGGGCUCAACCUGGGAACUGCAUUCGAAACUGGCAGGCUAGAGUCUUGUAGAGGGGGGUAGAAUUCCAGGUGUAGCGGUGAAAUGCGUAGAGAUCUGGAGGAAUACCGGUGGCGAAGGCGGCCCCCUGGACAAAGACUGACGCUCAGGUGCGAAAGCGUGGGGAGCAAACAG